rnacentral:rRNA from 1 species
AGAGUUUGAUCAUGGCUCAGGAUGAACGCUGGCGGCGUGCCUAAUACAUGCAAGUCGAACGAAGACUCCGGUACUCGUAUUGGAAAUUCUUAGUGGCGAACGGGUGAGUAACGCGUUGGUAAUCUGCCCCAAAGAGAGGGACAACAUUUCGAAAGGAAUGCUAAUACCUCAUGUGAUCAUAUUGAUUAGAUGCUUUAUGAUUAAAGGAGCAAUCCGCUUUGGGAGGAGCCUGCGUCCCAUCAGCUAGUUGGUAAGGUAAUGGCUUACCAAGGCAACGACGGGUAGGGGACCUGAGAGGGUGGUCCCCCACACUGGUACUGAAACACGGACCAGACACCUACGGGUGGCAGCAGUAGGGAAUAUUGCACAAUGGGCGAAAGCCUGAUGCAGCAACACCGCGUGCGCGAUGAAGGCCCUCGGGUCGUAAAGCGCUUUUAUGAGGGAAGAGAAAGGACGGUACCUCAUGAAUAAGGAUCGGCUAACUACGUGCCAGCAGCCGCGGUAACACGUAGGAUUCGAACGUUAUCCGGAUUUACUGGGCGUAAAGCGCGUGUAGGCGGUCUGACAAGUUGGAUGUGAAAGCUCCGGGCUCAACCCGGAGACGUCGUUCAAAACUGUCAGACUAGAGGACGAUAGAGGAAGGUGGAAUUCCGGGUGUAGUGGUGAAAUGCGUAGAUAUCCGGAGGGACACCAGUGGCGAAGGCGGCCUUCUGGGUCGUUCCUGACGCUCAGACGCGAAAGCAUGGGUAGCGAACGGGAUUAGAAACCCCGGUAGUCCAUGCCGUAAACGAUGUAGACUUGGUGUCGGUGGCGUAAAAACUGUCGGUGCCGAAGCUAACGCGAUAAGUCUACCGCCUGGGGACUACGACCGCAAGGUUAAAACUCAAAGGAAUUGACGG